rnacentral:lncRNA from 1 species
CAGUCACAAGUUCUUUACAUACUAGAAAAUGUGUGAGAGAUGGAGGUACUUUGUUAACCAGUGGAAGCACAAAGAUGAACAAACCAUACUCCUCCCCUCAAGACAACUCUUUCGUGAGGGAGAUAACCCAGGAAAUAGGAGUCUAUUCAUGAGACCGCUGCUCUAACUAGAAGAAUAGGAAGUACCAGAAGGUCACAAAAGAGGAGCUGAUUAGCUCAACCUGAGAAAGUCUCCCAAAGCUUCACAGCGGAAGGAAUGCUGAAGUGGGGAUGAAGAGGUGUUGAUCAGAAAAAAAGGUUCUGUCAAAGCAGAUGACUCCCAAAGGUUUCAUAAAUCUUCCGGAAAAUAAGCUCCUUCAGCUAUAUAAUCAUGGCACCCACGGCUUAAAAGUUGACAGUGAGAACAGCAUUGAACAGCCUGCUGCAUUCAGCAAAAGAUGGGAGAAAAAUGAGUUCAAUCAGUAGACUCCCAUGACCCCUUCAAGUGACGCAAUCAUCUCUUCCAAGAAGUGCAGCUACUUAUUUGGGAUAAGCGACGACAGACGAGAAACCACAAAGAAUCUGCAGACGCGAGACUCCCUGACCUGCAGAUAUACAGCCAUCUCCAAUAAGUCUACAUUUAAACUAAAACUUCUCCUGUUGAGCAAGCAUAAUGUGGAAUUAUGUUAGCAAGACCUUAUGCAUUCCCACAAAUUUUCUCCCAAUAAAAAAAACUGUUAUCAAAGGAUUGUCACCCCCCCAGACAUACAGCACUGCAGGGAAAAAGGAGCCCAGACAGCCGUUGGGAGUUGACCUCUGGCCGCACGCCUGGGACAACGUCCUGCUCCGGUGCCCGGAAGACACGCGU